AAUUUUGGACAAUGGGCGCAAGCCUGAUCCAGCCAUGCCGCGUAAGUAAAGAAGGCCUUCGGGUUGUAAAGCUCUUUCGGACGGAAAGAAAUCGCGCAGGCUAAUACCCUUCGCAGAAGACGACACCGUAAUAACAACCACCGACUCCCUACGUGCCAGCAGCCGCGGUAAUACGUAGGGUGCGAGCGUUAAUCGGAAUUACUGGACGGAAGGCGUGCGCAGGCGGUUGAUUAAGACAGGCGUGAUAUCACCGGGCUUAACCUGGGAACUGCGCUUGUGACUGGACAGCUAGAGUACGGCAGAGGAGGGUGGAAUUCCACGUGUAGCAGUGAAAUGCGUAGAGAUGUGGAGGAACACCGAUGGCGAAGGCAGCCCCCUGGGCCGAUACUGACGCUCAUGCACGAAAGCGUGGGUAGCAAACAGG
rnacentral:rRNA from 1 species